ACUCCUACGGGAGGCAGCAGUGGGGGAAUAUUGGACAAUGGGGGGAACCCGUGAUCCAGCCAUGCCGCGUGUGUGAAGAAGGCCUUAUGGUUGUAAAGCACUUUAAAGCGAGGAGGAGGCUACUGAGACUAAUACUCUUGGAUAGUGGACGUUACUCGCAGAAUAAGCACCGGCUAACUCUGUGCCAGCAGCCGCGGUAAUACAGAGGGUGCGAGCGUUAAUCGGAUUUACUGGGCGUAAAGCGUGCGUAGGCGGCUUUUAAGUCGGAUGUGAAAUCCCCGAGCUUAACUUGGGAAUUGCAUUCGAUACUGGGGAAGCUAGAGUAUGGGAGAGGAUGGUAGAAUUCCAGGUGUAGCGGUGAAAUGCGUAGAGAUCUGGAGGAAUACCGAUGGCGAAGGCAGCCAUCUGGCCUAAUACUGACGCUGAGGUACGAAAGCAUGGGGAGCAAACGAGGAUUAGAUACCCCUGGUAGCGACUGA
rnacentral:rRNA from 1 species